UACGAAGGGUGCAAACGUUGCUCGGAAUUAUUGGGCGUAAAGCGCACGUAGGCGGCUUGGCAAGUCGGAUGUGAAAUCCCUCGGCUCAACCAAGGAAGUGCAUCCGAAACUGCUGAGCUUGAGUACUUAAGAGGAUCGCGGAAUUCCCGGUGUAGAGGUGAAAUUCGUAGAUAUCGGGAGGAACAUCAGUGGCGAAGGCAGCCCCCUGGGCUAACACUGACGCUCAUGCACGAAAGCGUGGGGAGCAAACAGG
rnacentral:rRNA from 1 species